GGGGUUGUGGCUCAGUGGUUAGAGCACUUGCCUAGCACGUGUGAGGCACUGGGUUCGAUCUCCAGCACCA
rnacentral:tRNA from 1 species